CCUACGGGAGGCAGCAGUGGGGAAUCUUGCGCAAUGGGGGAAACCCUGACGCAGCAACGCCGCGUGGAGGAUGAAGUCCUUCGGGACGUAAACUCCUUUCGAUCGGGACGAUAAUGACGGUACCGGAAGAAGAAGCCCCGGCUAACUUCGUGCCAGUAGCCGCGGUAAUACGAGGGGGGCGAGCGUUGUUCGGAAUUAUUGGGCGUAAAGGGUGAGUAGGCGGUUUUGUAAGUCUUAUGUGAAAUCUAUGGGCUCAACUCAUAGACUGCAUGAGAAACUGCAGGGCUUGAGUGUGGGAGAGGUGGGUGGAAUUUCCGGUGUAGCUGUGAAAUGCGUAGAUAUCGGAAGGAACACCUGUGGCGAAAGCGGCUCACUGGACCACAACUGACGCUGAUGCACGAAAGCUAGGGGAGCAAACAGGAUUAGAUACCCGUGUAGUC
rnacentral:rRNA from 1 species